UACAGAGGGUGCGAGCGUUAAUCGGAAUUACUGGGCGUAAAGGGCUCGUAGGCGGCCAACUAAGUCAUACGUGAAAUCCCUCGGCUUAACCGGGGAACUGCGUCUGAUACUGGAUGGCUUGAGUUCGGGAGAGGGAUGCGGAAUUCCAGGUGUAGCGGUGAAAUGCGUAGAUAUCUGGAGGAAUACCGGUGGCGAAGGCGGCAUCCUGGACCGGCAUUGACGCUGAGGAGCGAAAGCCAGGGGAGCAAACGGG
rnacentral:rRNA from 1 species